AUCUGUGACUCCAGCCCGCUUCAUCCUACUUGUGAUGCUGUCUCUAAUAUGCUGUAUUGAAAGUGAAAAGUCUUGUGAGAAUUAGCCAUCAAUCGGAGUAGAUAUUUGCGCUAUCUGCAGUCUCUGUAGGAAAUGUUUUCGUUAGCUUUAAGAAAUACUCAUUUCUCUUGUUUCAGAAGUUAUUAUGAGUGAGGUAGGUGUGGGAUUCAUUCUUUCUGGCAAGAGCAUCUUGGAGAGAAAGGCAGAGCCAGGAUUAUCUCACAGAUAGAAAGGAACAGUGAGUUUUACGCCCACUGGCUCUUAAAAGGAUAGCAGUGACGUCUGACCUGAAUUGAGUAAGGCACUUGAGAUGACUCUGUCUGCGUCCCAAAAGUAGUCUUUACCCUCUUAGAUGAGUAGUCCCUGAGACACCACGACAGAGGGAGAAUGAACAAAACACAAAGGAUGCUCCUUCCACGCAGAAAGCAUGUAGAAGGAAGGCAGGAUUUCCCCGAUUUUUCUGCCUUGGUUUCAGUUUCAAUGAACUCCACUUUGGUUUCCAGCCCAAGGAUGCCACUGAGAACCUUCUUGCCAUGAACCUGAGCCAUGUAGUAUCUGGAU
rnacentral:lncRNA from 1 species